rnacentral:rRNA from 1 species
UACGGAGGGUGCAAGCGUUGUUCGGAAUGACUGGGCGUAAAGCGCACGUAGGCGGGUUCGUAAGUCGGAUGUGAAAUCCCCAGGCUUAACCUGGGAACUGCACCCGAAACUAUGAAUCUUGAAUGCUUGAGAGGUUGGUGGAAUUCCAGGUGUAGGAGUGAAAUCCGUAGAUAUCUGGAGGAACACCGGAGGCGAAGGCGGCCAACUGGCGAAUGCAUUGACGCUGAG